CCGGGGGGGGGCUCUGUUGACAAACAUGAAAUCGUGAAAACAUUCGUCGACGUACGUCAAUGACGUCAUACGUCUAGUGAUUGUCAUCAGUGGCGCCGUGGCCGGGGGGAGCAGGGGGGGGGGGCAUGGCCCUCCCCUAUUGUUGACACCCGUCGUAAAAUUGCCAAUGCUGCCGGAAAUUGCCGGAAAAUUGUCAAGACUGUCGGAAAUUGUCAAAGUUGUCGACGGGGGGGGUGAAGAUUUAAAAUGUUGUCGUCUGGAAAACUUUUUGGUUUGUCGGAAAAAUUUUUCGGUUUGUCGGAAAAGUACUGCCCUUGCCCCCCCCCAAAAAAAAACAUGGGUCCCACGGCGCCACUGAUUGUCAUUCUACUUCCUGUUAAAUAUUUGUUAAAACUCAGUGGUCCCGUAAUUUUUACCGAUUACGUAUGACGUCAUUGACAUCAACGAAUGUUUUCACGAUUUCAUGUUUGUCAAUAGAGCCUCCCCCCCCCCGCCCCGGUAAAUUUAGUUCUGCAGCACGGUGGAAAGCCUUGCAAAGUCUCUAUUGCACUAUUCGUCGACUAUUCGUACUAUUCGUCGACUAUUCGCGGACUAUUCG